GUUGGUGGUAGGAAUUGCUGUAGGCCGCACAGGGAACAGCCAGCCAACUCAGAGUUUCAUAAAACUCUGUCUACAGGCUCAAGCCUGCCCACAGACCCUGCAAAGCACAGAGCUGAGCUCAGGGCAGCUGUGUUACCUACAGCCAAGAUGUUUUUCACCAGUAAUUCAAAUCAGAACAUAAUCUGAUGUGGGAUAUACCAACAUAGCAAUGCAUCAUCCUCUUUGAGAUACCUCAGGAGCUGGAAAGAAUACAGAAAUAACUCCAGAGUGAAAACAGCGAAAAAAGAAUCAGAUUCGUGUUUCGUGCAUGAUUUCCAGCAGCCUCGGCAAUACGAAUUGGAAGCCACCCAUCUAGCCGAUGCACGAAGACCACUAACCAUGUACUAAAUAACAUAUUUCCAUUUUUUGCUGCCUUUUUGGAUUAUUUCAAUGGCACAGCUCAAGACAGCUGCAAUCAGUGCCUAAGGAGUUACAGCUGUUCAUCAUGGAUAUGUCAAGAAGGAGAGGGUUUGGAGCUUGUUUCCAAGGAUCCUACUGUGUAGAAGGCUGGCAAGAGCUGUGGAAAAGAGAAGGUUGCCAGCAUGUGAGGCUGGGUCAGACUUUCAGUCCAACUCAUAAUUUUGGGGAAAGUACUAUUCAAAGACAUGUGGGUAAGUACAAUAAGCUGCUGAAAGGAGACUUCCCAAUUUAUUUAGCAUAAGAGAGACAGAGAAGGUUCUUUUCUUAUCCCAAAUAAGCCGAUGACUUUGCUUUAAUUAUAUCAUGGUGAAGAAGGCCCAGUGUUUUUUGCUGCUGACCUUUUAAGAUCUCAAAAGCAACAUUAUUUGCAACUCUAGGCAGUUACCAUGGUGCGGUGGACUUAUUUUUAGCCAAUAGCUGGAAGAUUAAACUUGGCAGAGAAUGAUGUAGAUAUAUGAUGACAGAAAACUUCUCACAUGGGAUUUGUCCAGAAAUCUACUGGGCAUCUUUUUGGAUAAAUAUAAAUUGCCUUUGUUUGAUUAAUGUUUCAAUCUGGUCUUCUAUGGUUGCCUG
rnacentral:lncRNA from 1 species